AUAUAUGAACAUAUAAAAGUGCAAGCAACUUGUCAUUCUCAAAUCGAAACCGAAACCACAGAAAGUUCCACAAGUUUUAUAUAAAUAUGUAGUUAGUAAGUUUUUAAGAAACGAUUUCACUUUAAUGUGUUUAGAAAUUCGCAUUAGAUUUCAUCGAAGAAGCAUGGCGGACGGCGAAGCGCGUAGGAGUAGAAAAUAAACUUUUUUUAUCUAUGCCGACCAGAAAACUCCAAAAUUAACACAAAGGAUAGCGUUUCAUGGAUGUCUUCGUAUCAUCGUAUCUAUCUUAUGCAAAGUGAAGUAUUGAAAAGUAAUAAGAAAUGUAGGUUUCAAACUUAUUAGUAGUAAGAAAUUGAUGUUAACAUGUCAUCACGAGAUAUUCAUCGAUGGAUAAAUACAUGGCUUCGCUAUAGACUGCUGUAAAAUGCAUUGCAAUGAAGUUCAUCGAUACUUCAACGAACACAGAACAUACGCCAUAUAAUACCCAACGCAUACUAAUUAACAUCAUAUUUACGUUUCAACUUGACGACCUUCAACUUAUGGAUCAAAUAUGGACUCUGGCGCAAAGGAUCAAAAUAGUUUUUAAGUAAUUAUGGCAGACGUUGUGUUGAAUUUGUUACAAAUGCUCCAGUUUGGACUGAUUACAAAUCACUAUCCAAGACACGGGUUCAAUUCUCUUUAAACAAAAUAAAGGCAAAGGCAAAGCUCUGAUCGUAUUUCUGUCGUAAAAAAAUAUCUUAUCCAGUUGAAGGCGAAAGAACCCCAACAGAUCUAUACAUUUGUUAGAAAACAUUAAGAUGUAAUCCAAAUAUAUGAUUAAUACAAAACUACCAUUUAGGGUGCGUUUAAUAAAAAUCUGGUUAAAUGCUAGUUUAGCAUAGAAUUUAACUUAAAUAUAAUAAAUGUAUUCAUUGUGUAGUUGACAACAAGC